rnacentral:lncRNA from 1 species
GUUUUUCUCCCAGUGCAGGAAAACAUGAAGAAUGGGGAAAGUAGCUGCCGCAUGCCAAUGCGAAACUCCGAGGAGUCUAGCCAUUCUGAUCUGGCCUUCCAGGUCAUUAGGAGGCUCUGCCAUCACGUGAAGAGGGAGAGUCUGCUGUCUGGAGAGCACACUGGUCUCCAGUGUGGGGAGAGAGAGCAUUUUCCGGCUUUGCUGAGGAGGGUCUUCGGAAAAAAGAUGUGCAGCUCGGACAUGGAGGGCAGAAGUGCUCAGGAAGGAUCUUCUGCAUGCAGGAGCUUCCUCUCUCAAAAGGUGUUCUCCAAUCAUGAGCUUAUUUGCUGUUUACAUGCCUGAGGAGGACUGACCUUAGCAGCUAUGAUGACCUCAUUUAUCACUGUGGAUAAGCACUUGGCCAGGGUCUCGGCCAGCACCCCGGGCCCAGCCUCCCGGUCUACUCGUUUCUGGGGGUGGGGGCAUCUGCCCACUGUCCUGAACUUUUCUCUGCUUGGGUAGGGACAGGGAGCCCCAGCAGCACUUGUUCCAGGAUGACCCAGCAAAUUGCAAGGUGGCAUUUGGCCUUUUUCUCAGCAAUUGCCAGACUUUGUCCCAGGGUGAGGAGGAAGCC